CUAAAAUCACAAAAUAAAUAAACCUAAGUCACAAACUAAAAUCACAAAGAAAAAUUUCCCCAACUUUGUAUUAUGUUCAAAAAUAAGAGCUGAAAACCAAGAAGACUGCACUGUAAAUGAGUCUUAUCUGUUCUGACCUGGACAGACCUCUGGCUGAUUGCUCUGUGCCUGGUUCUGGAGCUGCUUCCCAGGACAUUCGGAGUGGACAAAGGGAAGACUAUCAAACCACAACAGAGCAAAAUCAGAAGAAGGAUUGUUGUCCUCCUAAAGAGUUGAGUACAUCUAUUUUGGAUACCGAAAGGCUUGUUUUCCUUCCUUCUACAUCUAUGGUCACCUUCUAACAUAUAUAAAAUCCUGGUGUGAAGGUCAUCUGUAACCUUGAUAGAGUGAUAUAUGUAGAGCAAUGGAGAUGAACGCUCACAGGAGAAUGAAAGAGAAGCCUGAAGACAGUCUCAUCUCUGGAUUUUCUGGUUAAGAACAGAUUCUUUUUUAACGAAGCUAUUUUGAAUUGGGUUUCUGUCUUGUGAUAGCAAAAGACAUCCAAUUAAUUUUUAAAGAAAGACACCAGGCUGAUUUCCAGUGUAACAGGUAUAAACAAUGAUAUGCUGGGCUUACAGAAAAAAACCUUUACAGGACUACAACAUAGAAAAACUCUGGUCACAGAAAGAAUUGCUUUUUCAUCAGAAUUGCUUAUCUUGUUUAUUAGUCCCAUUAUUGAAGUAUGCAACUUGGUAUUUGAACAAUUUGUCCCCCAUAUAGGUUUUGUUAAUGCUAUAUUAUAAAUCUCUCAGAGUUGUGACCAUUUUUUCUGUGUUUGGUUCAGUAAUAUCAUAUGAUUUAACUUCUGCAAUUCUGUAAGUAGUAAGCUAAUUGCUGACAAAAUAUGCAAAACUUUGUUUUAUGCUAUUUUAUAUUUCACAGCAAUAUCCCUGUUAACAUCUGUCAAAAAAGUGCUAUGGAAACUGAAACAUAACACACCAUAUUAUACAUGCAGAUUUAACAUUUUGCUUAGUAUUUUUUCUAGUGGAAGUUUUGUGCAUAUGUUCAGUUUUAUAUUCUUCUGUAUUUCAAUGUCUUAAUUUUCUUUUCAAUAAAAGAAGAAGUUACUUAAUAUGUUAACA
rnacentral:lncRNA from 1 species